GAUGAACGCUGGCGGCGUGCCUAAUACAUGCAAGUCGAGCGAAUGGAUUAAGAGCUUGCUCUUAUGAAGUUAGCGGCGGACGGGUGAGUAACACGUGGGUAACCUGCCCAUAAGACUGGGAUAACUCCGGGAAACCGGGGCUAAUACCGGAUAACAUUUUGAACCGCAUGGUUCGAAAUUGAAAGGCGGCUUCGGCUGUCACUUAUGGAUGGACCCGCGUCGCAUUAGCUAGUUGGUGAGGUAACGGCUCACCAAGGCAACGAUGCGUAGCCGACCUGAGAGGGUGAUCGGCCACACGGGGACUGAGACACGGCCCAGACUCCUACGGGAGGCAGCAGUAGGGAAUCUUCCGCAAUAGACGAAAGUCUGACGGGGCAACGCCGCGUGAGUGAUGAAGGCUUUCGGGUCGUAAAACUCUGUUGUUAGGGAAGAACAAGUGCUAGUUGAAUAAGCUGGCACCUUGACGGUACCUAACCAGAAAGCCACGGCUAACUACGUGCCAGCCGCCGCAGUAA
rnacentral:rRNA from 1 species